UUGAUGUGCUAACGUUGGCCCCUGACCGGGGUUGCGGACAGUGUAUGGUGGGUAGUUUGACUGGUGCGGGCUCCUCCCAAAGCGUAACGGAGGAGCACGAAGGUUAGCUAAUCCUGGUCGGACAUCAGGAGGUUAGUGCAAUGGCAUAAGCUAGCUUGACUGCGAGCGUGACGGCGCGAGCAGGUGCGAAAGCAGGUCAUAGUGAUCCGGUGGUUCUGAAUGGAAGGGCCAUCGCUCAACGGAUAAAAGGUACUCCGGGGAUAACAGGCUGAUACCGCCCAAGAGUUCAUAUCGACGGCGGUGUUUGGCACCUCGAUGUCGGCUCAUCACCUCCUGGGGCUGAAGUAGGUCCCAAUGGUAUGGCUUUGCGCCAAUUAAAGUGGUACGCGAGCUGG
rnacentral:rRNA from 13 species